rnacentral:rRNA from 1 species
ACUCCUACGGGAGGCAGCAGUGGGGAAUUUUGGACAAUGGGCGAAAGCCUGAUCCAGCAAUGCCGCGUGAGUGAAGAAGGCCUUCGGGUUGUAAAGCUCUUUUGUCAGGGAAGAAACGGUGAAAGCUAAUAUCUUUUGCUAAUGACGGUACCUGAAGAAUAAGCACCGGCUAACUACGUGCUAGCAGCCGCGGUAAUACGUAGGGUGCAAGCGUUAAUCGGAAUUACUGGGCGUAAAGCGUGCGCAGGCGGUUUUGUAAGUCUGAUGUGAAAUCCCCGGGCUCAACCUGGGAAUUGCAUUGGAGACUGCAAGGCUAGAAUCUGGCAGAGGGGGGUAGAAUUCCACGUGUAGCAGUGAAAUGCGUAGAUAUGUGGAGGAACACCGAUGGCGAAGGCAGCCCCCUGGGUCAAGAUUGACGCUCAUGCACGAAAGCGUGGGGAGCAAACAGGAUUAGAAACCCGAGUAGUCCCAUGA